UCGGGAAUUUUGGGCAAUGGGGGAAACCCUGACCCAGCAACGCCGCGUGAAGGAUGAAGUAUUUCGGUAUGUAAACUUCGAAAGAAUAGGGAGAAUAAAUGACGGUACUAUUUAUAAGGUCCGGCUAACUACGUGCCAGCAGCCGCGGUAAUACGUAGGGACCAAGCGUUGUUCGGAUUUACUGGGCGUAAAGGGCGCGUAGGCGGCAUGACAAGUCACUUGUGAAAUCUCUGGGCUUAACCCAGAACGGCCAAGUGAUACUGUCGCGCUAGAGUGCAGAAGGGGCAAUCGGAAUUCUUGGUGUAGCGGUGAAAUGCGUAGAUAUCAAGAGGAACACCUGAGGUGAAGACGGGUUGCUGGGCUGACACUGACGCUGAGGCGCGAAAGCCAGGGGAGCAAACGGGAUUAGAUACCCCCGUAGUCCCUGAGCGGGCUGGCAAGGCGCAU
rnacentral:rRNA from 1 species